ensembl:lncRNA
GGGCGUUGUUGUUGUCGCUGGCCUCCAGCAGCAGGGAUGAACCGCUGGGAAACACAACUGAUAGGAAAACAAAGAGCUUGAUCCAUGGAUCCUCACCGCAGGUUAUACUGUAGUCACCGUCUUUCAUGGUAGCUUUAAUGUUGUGAUCACGGCUGCACAUUUGAUAGGUAGUUUGAUAGGUAGUUGUGUGUUGUGAUGGUAGUUUUGAUUUGUGAUGAUAGUUGUGUGUUGUGAUGUAAGAUAUGUGUUGGGAAGUUUUGUUUUGUGUUGAUAGUUAUGUGUUCUGAUGGUAGUUGUGUGUUUUGACUGUAGUUUUGUUUUCUGAUGGUAGUUAUGUUUUCUGAUGGUAGUUGUGUGUUUUGAUGGUAGUGGUGAUGGUAGGUGUUUGUUGUGAUGGUAGUUUUGUGUUUUGAUGGUAGUUGUGUGUUUUGAUGGUAGUGGUGAUGGUAGGUGUUUAUUGUGAUGGUAGUUGUGUGGUUUGAUGGUAGCUGUGUUGUGGUGUAAGUUUUGUUGGGAUGUUAGUUGUGUGUUGUGAUCGUAGUUGUGAUGCUAGUUGUGGUGGUAUUUGUGUAGUUGUGAUGGUAAUUGUGUAUUAUGAUAGUAGUGGUGUAGUUGUGUGUUUUGAAGGUAGUUGUGAUAGUAGUUUUGAUGGUAGCUGUGUAGUUGUUGAAUGGUUGUGUAGUUGUUGUUUCGUUGUGAUGGUAGUUGUAAAGUUGUGAUGGUAGUUGUGUAGUUGUGAUGGUAGUUGUGAAGUUGUAAUGGUAUUGUGAUAGUAGUUGUGUACUUGUUGUCUAGUUGUGAUAGUAGUUGUGAAGUUUUGGGUAGUUGUGUAGUUGUGAUGGUGGUUGGGUAGUUGUUGAGUUGUUGUGAUGGUAGUUGUGGAGUCGUGAAGUUGUUGUGAAGUUGUGAUGGUAAUUGUGUAGUUGUCUAGUUGUUGUGAAGUUGUGAUGGUAGUUGUGUAGUUGUCUAGUUGUUGUCUAGUUGUGAUGGUAGUUGUGUAGUUGUCUAGUUGUUGUGUAGUUGUGAUGGUAGUUGUGUAGUUGUCUAGUUGUUGUGUAGUUGUGAUGGUAGUUG